rnacentral:rRNA from 1 species
GACGAACGCUGGCGGCGUGCUUAACACAUGCAAGUCGAACGGAAAGGCCCUGCUUGUGUGGGGUGCUCGAGUGGCGAACGGGUGAGUAACACGGGAGUAACCUGCCCUUGACUUUGGGAUAACUUCAGGAAACUGGGGCUAAUACCGGAUAGGAGCUCCUGCUGCAUGGGGGGGGUUGGAAAGCUUCGGCGGUUGGGGAUGGACGCGCGGCUUAUCAGCUUGUUGGUGGGGUAGUGGCUUACCAAGGCUUUGACGGGUAGCCGGCCUGAGAGGGUGACCGGGCACAUUGGGACUGAGAUACGGCCCAGACUGCUACGGGAGGCAGCAGUGGGGAAUAUGGCACAAUGGGCGGAAGCCUGAUGCAGCAACGCCGCGUGCGGGAUGACGGCCUUCGUGUUGUAAACCGCUUUCGCCUGUGACGAAGCGUUAGUGACGGUAAUGGGUAAAGAAGCACCGGCUAACUACGUG